UGGAAGUCCAGUCAGGUGGGUUACGUCCA
rnacentral:piRNA from 1 species